rnacentral:rRNA from 1 species
UACGGAGGGUGCGAGCGUUGUUCGGAAUCACUGGGCGUAAAGCGCGUGUAGGCGGCCCAUUAAGUCUGAUGUGAAAGCCCGGGGCUCACCCCCGGAAGUGCAUUGGAAACUGAUGGACUCGAGUCCCGGAGAGGAGAGUGGAAUUCCUGGUGUAGCGGUGAAAUGCGUAGAUAUCAGGAGGAACACCGGUGGCGAAGGCGGCAUCCUGGACCAACACUGACACUGAAAAGCGAAAGCCAGGGGAGCAAACGGG